GCCGGUAUAGCUCAGUUGGUAGAGCAGCGCACUCGUAACGCGAAGGUCGUAGGUUCAAUUCCUAUUACCGGCACCA
rnacentral:tRNA from 1 species